rnacentral:rRNA from 1 species
UAAAGCGGUACGCGAGCUGGGUUCAGAACGUCGUGAGACAGUUCGGUCCCUAUCCGGCGCGGGCGUAGGAUAUUUGAGAGGAGCUGCCCCUAGUACGAGAGGACCGGGGUGGACGGACCACUGGUGUAUCAGCUGUCGACCAACGGCAUAGCUGAGUAGCCAAGUCUGGACGGGAUAAACGCUGAAGGCAUCUAAGCGUGAAGCCCCCCUCAAGAUGAGAUAUCCCAUUCCUUCAAGGAAAUAAGAUCCCUUAUAGACGAUAAGGUAGAUAGGUUCAAGGUGUAAGUGCGGUAACGCAUUCAGCUGAUGAAUACUAAUAGAUCGAAGGUUUAUUCU